UACGUAGGGGCCUAGCGUUGUCCGGAUUUAUUGGGCGUAAAGAGCUCGUAGGCGGUUCGGUAAGUCAGGUGUGAAAUCUCCACGCUCAACGUGGAGGCGCCACCUGAAACUGCCGUGACUCGAGUCCGGUAGGGGAGUGUGGAAUUCCCGGUGUGAGCGGUGGAAAUGCGCAGAUAUCGGGAGGAACACCGGUGGCGAAGGCGGCGAUCUGGGUCGAUACGUGACGCUGAGGUGCGAAAGCGUGGGGAGCAAACAGG
rnacentral:rRNA from 1 species